AUUGAACGCUGGCGGCAUGCCUUACACAUGCAAGUCGAACGGCAGCACGGGAGCAAUCCUGGUGGCGAGUGGCGAACGGGUGAGUAAUGUAUCGGAACGUACCUUUCAGUGGGGGAUAACGUAGCGAAAGUUACGCUAAUACCGCAUAUUCUGUGAGCAGGAAAGCAGGGGAUCGCAAGACCUUGCGCUGAUUGAGCGGCCGAUAUCAGAUUAGCUAGUUGGUGAGGUAAAGGCUCACCAAGGCGACGAUCUGUAGCGGGUCUGAGAGGAUGAUCCGCCACACUGGAACUGAGACACGGUCCAGACUCCUACGGGAGGCAGCAGUGGGGAAUUUUGGACAAUGGGCGCAAGCCUGAUCCAGCCAUGCCGCGUGAGUGAAGAAGGCCUC
rnacentral:rRNA from 1 species